rnacentral:tRNA from 1 species
AUACUGGUAGUUUAAAUAAUAAAACACUAAACUUCGAACUUAAAAAUAUAGAAACAAAUCUAUCCAAUAUU